rnacentral:rRNA from 1 species
GAUGAACGCUAGCUACAGGCUUAACACAUGCAAGUCGAGCGGAGUGAUGGUGCUUGCACUAUCACUUAGCGGCGGACGGGUGAGUAAUGCUUAGGAAUCUGCCUAUUAGUGGGGGAUAACAUCUCGAAAGGGAUGCUAAUACCGCAUACGUCCUACGGGAGAAAGCAGGGGAUCACUUGUGACCUUGCGCUAAUAGAUGAGCCUAAGUCGGAUUAGCUAGUUGGUGGGGUAAAGGCCUACCAAGGCGACGAUCUGUAGCGGGUCUGAGAGGAUGAUCCGCCACACUGGGACUGAGACACGGCCCAGACUCCUACGGGAGGCAGCAGUGGGGAAUAUUGGACAAUGGGGGGAACCCUGAUCCAGCCAUGCCGCGUGUGUGAAGAAGGCCUUAUGGUUGUAAAGCACUUUAAGCGAGGAGGAGGCUCUUUUGGUUAAUACCCAAGAUGAGUGGACGUUACUCGCAGAAUAAGCACCGGCUAACUCUGUGCCAGCCGCCGCCGUAA